CAGCCGCCACGGGAAUACGAAGGGGGCUAGCGUUGCUCGGAAUGACUGGGCGUAAAGGGCGCGUAGGCGGUCACGAUAGUCAGAUGUGAAAUUCCUGGGCUUAACCUGGGGACUGCAUUUGAUACUGUGUGGCUUGAGUGUGGAAGAGGGUCGUGGAAUUCCCAGUGUAGAGGUGAAAUUCGUAGAUAUUGGGAAGAACACCGGUGGCGAAGGCGACUCUCUGGUCUGUAACUGACGCUGAGGAGCGAAAGCGUGGGGAGCGAACAGGAUUAGAUACCCCAGUAGUCCCUGUCUCUUAUAC
rnacentral:rRNA from 1 species